rnacentral:rRNA from 1 species
AGCAGCCGCGGUAAUUCCAGCUCCAAUAGCGUAUAUUAAAGUUGUUGCAGUUAAAAAGCUCGUAGUUGAAUUUCGGGGUCAGUAAGUUGGUCGUGCCACUGGUAUGUACUGGCUUUACUGAUUCCUCCUUCUUGUAGAACCGUAAUGCCAUUAAGUUGGUGUUGCGGGAAAACAGGACUGUUACUUUGAAAAAAUUAGAGUGUUUAAAGCAAGCUAACGCUUGAAUACAUUAGCAUGGAAUAAUGAAAUAGGACGAACGACCCUAUUUUGUUGGUUUCUAGGAUUGACGUAAUGAUUAAUAGGGAUAGUUGGGGGCAUUAGUAUUCAAUUGUCAGAGGUGAAAUUCUUGGAUUUAUUGAAGACUAACUACUGCGAAAGCAUUUGCCAAGGAUGUUUUCAUUAAUCAAGAACGAAAGUUAGGGGAUCGAAGACGAUCAGAUACCGUCGUAGUCUUAACCAUAAACUAUGCCGACUAGGGAUCGGAUGAUGUUAAUUUUUUAAUGACUCAUUCGGCGCCUUA